GUGCUCACAUUGGCAGCACAUAUACUAAGAUUGGAACGAUACAGAGAAGAUUAGCAUGGCCCCUGCACAAGGAUGACACGCAAAUUCGUGAAGAGUUCCAUAUUUCA
ensembl:snRNA U6 U6 spliceosomal RNA